UUUUUCGGCCCUCUGUCAAACUUCAUUGAACCCAGUCUCUGUCAGGCUUUCAUCUUCACAUCACAGAUUUAACAAGAUCUCUCCACGUCUAGGUGGGACAGAGGGAGACAUUCCUUCCCUCCAUUCAGAUCCAACUUUUUCUGCUCAUCCACCUGUCUCAUUUCUCCCAGAAAGAUUUUUAAAAACCAAGGAUACAGAGAAUUAUUGACUGGAGCUCAGGAGAGAUUUUUGUUAGCUAAAGUCUAACAGUGGCAGAGGAAGGUAAUGGAAAACCUCAUUGACUGGAGGGAGAGUCUUAUGAUUUCUUGCAGAAUGAACCAGAAUAUCCUGCAUUCUUAGGCAAAUAUAACUGUAAUAGAGAUGAUUGCAAGUUCCUAGGCAGUGAUAGUGUCCUGCUGUGUUAUUCUCUGUCUCCACUCUAGUAGAUAUGGAAGAUCCAUAUACUUGAGAAACACAUGGAUGGUACAAAAGAAAGGGGAGCUUCAAGGGUCUUCAACAAAAUAAAAUUAACUAAAAACUUAAGCACACACAAAAUCCCAUACAAAUUUGGGUUUUAGCAAAGGAGAGAAGAAAUGUUGAUAAGAUCAAAACUGGGAGUAGCUGGAGAGUCACAAGUUCUGUAGGGCAAGAUUUCUUUGUUGACCUGAACUGAAAUCUGAGUUCUGAGUAAGAAGAGGGACAUGCUAUAGCAGAAAGAGAAGAAACCCGCGAUGGAUAAAAAUGAGCAAUGGCAGAAGUAGAAAGGUGGUAACAGGCAAAUCCUGCAAGGGAAAAAAAAUUAAUAAUUUUGAGCAAUCUAUAGAAAUCAUGCUGAAUUGUAAUGGAAGAUAUGGUUGGUAAAGCGUAUGCCUGAUUUUGAAGAGGUUUUGAAACCUUAGGUAGAAAAUUCGGGCAUUACUAUGCUAUAGGAUAGAUCUGUUCUUAUCUGUCUGAGGAGUGUCCUAAUAAACACCCAGCUGGAGAACUUUGUUCCAAAAGUUACAUAUUAAAGAAGAAUGUAAGACUCUUACUGUAAUCUGAGUGGGGUUUCAGGGAAAAAGUGAAAACUCAAAAAUGUCUGUAGAAGGUCCAGAUUUGGGGAGCUACUGAUGGACAUUUAUGCUGGCUCCUGCCUCUCAGAGGAGUUAGGAUCUAGAGAUUGAUAAUAACUUUUCUUUUUUGGAGGGUGUUUUUGGAAUUUUUUUAUUUUAUUACUGUCCUGAGAUCAAUUUUACUAAGAGGGGAGAUCCAAUAGCCCUUAAAACCACAAUAUGCAGUAUGAUAGGCUGUGGCAUUAUUCAAAAUGAUUUUCAUGAAUCUGGCUCCAAUCCAGACAUCUCAGAUAAGAAUAUAGCCCAGAGCUUUAAUGCUUUAGCUUUCUCAAAAUUCUUUAAAAAUCUCCCAUUUAUCAUUAUAUCCAUAAUACCUUUACUAUUUUUAGUCUUCCUUUUCCAUUGCAUUUUCUAUAGUUUAUGAUUCAAGACUGGCUUCAGUAAAAUAAAUAGUAUAAAAUAAAAUUUAUCAUGAUUUACCAUUUUCAUUUUGCUAGCUUUUAUUUUAUAUAUGGUUCAUGGAUAUCAAAAUUAAAUAAUAUCCUAAUUUGGUCUACUAAAUCUUUACUUAGUUAUCAUCAAUUACAAUUUACUUGUCCACUGGCCUGCAAAAAAGAAUGUGAAAUGUGAAAUAUGAAAUAUAACCUUAGGAUAAGGAUCUUCUCAUCUCGCCACAGAGGAUUUGUUAGUUUCAUUUUUUAUAUCAUUAUUUUUAUUCCUUAAAAACAAUUUCUCAAAGGGUGGGGUUAUCUCAGUAUCCACAAAGAACCAAACUUCAUACAGACUUUUUCUUGACUUUUUUAAUGAGUUCUACUCUUAAAAAGUAUUCCUUUGAACUGAAGUCACUGGGCUGCUUCUAUAAGGAAAAGACUGUCCAUUUAAGCUAACACAGACCAGGGUGUACUCUGCUAUUUCUGAAAUAAAAAUAGUUUUCUUUGUGUUGGGCUUCACAUUACGUAUUUUAACUUUUGACUUAUUAUCUUAGUCAUGUCGAAAUGAAAAAUGGAUCUCUCUAGGGACUUCCAUUAUGUCAGAUUGAAAAAUCAUCUCUCUUGACUGCUUGGGGCAACUGCAUGUUCAAAGCCCUUUUGCCUCAUUUCUCACAGUGCUCUCUAUGGCUAUGCCAUCCUCCUGCUUUGGGGCACAUUUCCAUUACUGGUGACAAAUCUUACACUCAGGGGUCAGACCUGUUCCCUGUGUACACGAUAAUCCCCAAGCAAUUGGCAAUGAUUUAUUCAUAAAUUUGAUUUAUUUAUUGUAUUCCCAUUACCUAAAGCUCUCUACUCCCUAAAAGGUGAUAUGUGUUAGUAUACAUAUGUAGCUAUGAAGUAGAAUUAUUUUUUGGACAUACACACACACACCAAAAAACACAUACACAGAGGGUUGGGGCAAAGGCCAUGUAGGGAAAUAUUUUUGUUAAAGAAUCAUAAAGAAUCAUAUCAGUAGUUACUCUAAGGAAACUUCAUGAGCUUUCUGAUCUGUGUGUUACUUAAUCUCAGCCUUAGAAGACAAUUGAAUUGUUCUUUGGAGGACUAUGGUGCUCUUCCUAGGAGACUUGGGGCAAGUUCAGUCCCCAUGAUCUAAUCCAGACCCUCUUAAAACCAAGAGAGAUAUUUUAUGACCUCCCUGGUACCAGUGAUCUUACUUUCUGUAUGUCACUAUCACCUUCUCAUCAUUCUUGUUCUCUUAACUCCUUUGACCACUCAUGGUGGGAAUCAGGAAAACAGGAAGAUGUGUGGGAAGUUUUCUCAUCUUACUUUACCACCCCUCCCAUCCCCAAUAUCCAAGGCACCAUUGAUAGAGCAUGUGCUUCAGGUGGCCUGACCUACAUUACACCUUUUGAUAACCUUUCUCAUCCUUUGAGGCCUUCAUCACAUCUUCUCUGAUACUCUCCUGAUCACUGCAGAUGGAAGGGAUAUCUUCUUCUCUGGCCUUCUGAUAGGAUUUUCUUUGCAUCAUUCACAUGGUACUGGAACCAUUCUACUCUGUAAUAUAUCCAUUUUUCUGCUGAUCCUACUGGAUUUUCUACACUGUCAACUCCUUGAGUGCUUGGGAAGCUUCAUAGUUGAAUAGCACCUACAUCAGAGCUUUAUAGCCACUGCUGUUUGUUUUCAAGAUAGCUGUACAUAGAGUGACUACAUCAGGAGAGUUCAGGAAUGUGGUGAUAAAUUAAUGAGACUGUUAAACAGAAAAAUUUAACUAUAAUGUCUGGUGUGAUGGAAUGCUCAUCAAAGUGUAAUGAUUCAUUUUUGAAUUUGAAAUAAAAGAGGCGUAUAUGUUUAAAGGGCAUUUUAGCUGGUAAAAAGUCACUGAGGCAUUAAACAUUAUUAUAGUGACCCUUAUUACUGAAAAUUGGCAUUUCUGUUUAAAUGGCACUCUAUAAAAUUAGAUUUUUCAAUAACAUUACAUGAACACACUAUUCUGUAGGUUGAAUUUGAGAUUCUUUAGAAAAGAGAAUAAGUAGAACAAAGUAGAAAACUUCAAACUAAAAAUGUUAACUAUUGAUUUGACAUUAACUUUAAUGACAAAUAAGAAACCAAGUGUUGUGAGCAAGGAAAUAAAAAUUAUUCUUUGUUUUCUCCAUGAUUUGCUCCUAUAGAUUUAAUUUCAUUUGUGUUUAAUUCUUGAAAUUUAUCUAAUCAGAAUAUCUUCUUUUAUAUAUGGAAAAAAUAUUUGAGGCUUGUAGAUGCUAAAUGCCUAAGAUGCCAAGACAAGAGAAAGAGGAAAACAGGAAAAUGUGUGGAAGGCAGGUGUCCUAUGGUAUGAAUAAAGAAUGGAAAACACAAACCUCAACCAUUUUUUCACCUACGCAUAGCUAAAUAUAUUCAUAUUUUGUUCCACAUAGCUAUGAAAUGGAUAAGAACAAAUAAGCAACCAGCAAAACAAAAUAAAAUCCCAUUUCAAGUACCCUUUUAUUAGGGCACAUAUUUUUUAGUAUAAAAAUAUACUGAGGUUUAAUUUGUUUUGGAGUCAGCUAGCAACACGCAGUAAACCCACCUGUAGAAAACAGGAUUGAAAGUAAGGAGACAUUGGUAGAAGCGAUGAAAAACAACUAGAUCUGUCAUAGUUGGUUUGCUUGGACACAGAGUUGUUUGUCCCUGAAGUUCAUAUUAGUAAUAAGAAUGAAUUUUUUUUUUUCUUUGCCGUGUGGCAUAUGGAAGUUCCCAGGCUGGGGGUCAUAUCCAAGCUACAGCUGCUGGCCUACACCACAGUCAUAGAAACACAGGAUCCGAGCUGUGUCUUUGACCUACACCACAGCUCACAACAAUGCCAGACACUUAGCACACUGAGGGAGGCCAGGAAUUGAACCCACAUCCUCAAGGAUUCUAGUCAGGUUCAUUACCAUUGAGCCACAAUGGGAACUACAAGAAUUAUUUUUUUUUAAAUAGUGCCUUUAUACUUUUUAUUCAUUUUAUUUAUUCAAAAAACUUUACAUGUAACCUGACCCCCUUGCUGUACAGUGGGGAAAAAAAAAAA
rnacentral:lncRNA from 1 species